AUUGAACGCUGGCGGCAGGCCUAACACAUGCAAGUCGAGCGGAUGAAGGGAGCUUGCUCCUGGAUUCAGCGGCGGACGGGUGAGUAAUGCCUAGGAAUCUGCCUGGUAGUGGGGGAUAACGUCCGGAAACGGGCGCUAAUACCGCAUACGUCCUGAGGGAGAAAGUGGGGGAUCUUCGGACCUCACGCUAUCAGAUGAGCCUAGGUCGGAUUAGCUAGUUGGUGGGGUAAAGGCCUACCAAGGCGACGAUCCGUAACUGGUCUGAGAGGAUGAUCACUCACAUUGGAACUGAGACACGGUCCAGACUCCUACGGGAGGCAGCAGUGGGGAAUAUUGGACAAUGGGCGAAAGCCUGAUCCAGCCAUGCCGCGUGUGUGAAGAAGGUCUUCGGAUUGUAAAGCACUUUAAGUUGGGAGGAAGGGCAGUAAGUUAAUACCUUGCUGUUUUGACGUUACCAACAGAAUAAGCACCGGCUAACUUCGUG
rnacentral:rRNA from 1 species